UCCUUGUUCGUCCCUGCAUUUCCACGGGAGACCUGAAAACGGCGAAAAAGGCCACCGAGGCUGGUUGAAUUUCUGAUUACGCAUCUGAAUUUUCUUCUUUUCUCCCCUACCGGACGCAUUGGGGGAGAAAUCCCGAGCAGAUUCCAUCUCCAAUGGGGGCUCAAAAGGCGAUGAAAGUUCUGAGCGAGAGAGCCGCACUUGUCCGAGAGUCGCUGCAGAAGAGUCAGGUUGUAACGGAGAGCAUGGUCUCCAUUCUUGGCUCCUUCGAUCACCGUCUCUCCGCUCUCGAAACAGCUAUGCGACCUACUCAGAUCAGAACUCAUUCAAUUCGGAGGGCGCAUGAGAAUAUCGACAAGACAUUGAAGUAUGCAGAAAGUAUGCUAGCUCAGUUUGAUCUUACACGCAAGGCCGAGGCUAAAAUACUCAGGGGGCCACAUGAGGACUUGGAAAUGUACUUGGAAGCAAUUAGUCAACUUCGAAGCGCUAAUCGCUACUUUACUGGGAACAAAAUUUUCCGAAGUAACGAAGCUAUUCUUACCCAUACAAGCAACUUGCUUGCUAAAGCCAUUUCAAAGCUGGAAGAUGAGUUCAGACAGCUUUUAACAAAUUACAGUAAGCCAGUGGAACCCGAUCGUCUUUUCGAUUGCCUCCCCAACUCCUUGCGUCCAUCUUCAGCAUCUUCGCAGCAAGGUGAUGGUGGUAGCAAACAUAAUUCUGACAAUCACAACAAAAGCUUAGAGGCUUCCAUCUUCAUUCCCCCAACUCUUAUUCCUCCCAGGGUUCUUCCAUUGUUGCAUGAUUUGGCCCAACAAAUGAUUAUGGCUGGCCAUCAGCAGCAAGUCUAUAGAAUAUACAGGGAGACUCGCGCUGCAGUUUUAGAACAGAGUCUUAGGAAAUUAGGUGUUGAGAGGCUUAGCAAGGAUGAUGUCCAGAAAAUGCAGUGGGAGGCCCUUGAAGCUAAGAUUGGGAACUGGAUACAUUACGUGCGCAUUGCUGUCAAACUGCUGUUUACUGGGGAAAGGAAAAUCUGUGAUCAAAUAUUUGAUAGUGCAGACGCUCUCGUGGAUCAAUGCUUCGCAGAUGUGACAUCAAACAGUGUGUCAAUGCUACUAAGUUUUGGAGACGCAAUUGCCAAAAGCAAGAGAUCUCCAGAAAAAUUGUUUGUUCUUCUAGACAUGUUUGAAAUAAUGCGAGAACUGCAAUCUGAGAUUGAAACACUUUUUGGAAGUAAAGCAUGCAUUGAAAUGCGUGAUUCUGCAUUGAGCUUAACACAACGCCUUGCCGAGACAGCUCAAGAGACUUUUGUUGAUUUUGAAGAAGCGGUAGAAAAAGAUGCCACAAAAACUGCUGUUCUUGAUGGGACUGUUCAUCCCUUGACCAGUUAUGUGAUAAACUACGUGAAGUUUUUAUUUGACUACAAAUCUACUUUGAAGCAACUAUUCCAAGAUUUCGAGGCUGUUGAUCCAGAUGCUCAGUUAGCAGUGAUAACUACAAGAAUUACGCAGGCACUUCAGACUAAUCUUGACGGAAAAUCUAAGCAAUAUAAGGAUCCUGCAUUAACUCAAUUAUUUCUGAUGAACAAUAUUCACUAUAUAGUGAGAUCUGUCCGUAGAUCGGAGGCAAAGGAUUUGUUGGGUGAUGACUGGGUGCAGAUACAUCGAAGGAUUGUGCAGCAGCAUGCAAAUCAAUACAAGAGGAUUUCUUGGGCCAAGAUUUUGCAGUGCCUCACCGUUCAGGCCUCAGGCAGUGGUGGUGCUUCGGCAGAUGCAACCUGUGGACUCUCAAAAGCUAUGGUGAAAGAUAGGUUUAAGACUUUCAAUAUCCAAUUUGAGGAGCUUCAUCAACGGCAGUCUCAAUGGACAGUUCCUGACAGUGAGUUGCGGGAGUCAUUGAGGUUGGCAGUCGCUGAAGUAUUAUUGCCUGCUUACCGAUCCUUCAUCAAGCGUUUCGGGCCUAUGGUUGACAAUGGGAAAACUGGUCUUCAAAGAAGCAUCAAAUAUACACCUGAGGAUCUUGAGCGUAUGCUAAAUGAAUUCUUUGAGGGCAAGACAUUCAGUGAACAAAAGCGCUAGGAGCGUCUCAAAAUGCUCUGUACAUGGACAAGUUAGAGCAGGAAGAACUUUUCUAUUUGUUCCUACGAGUAAGGAUUAAGAGGCGGCGUCUAUGCACGAUUUGGGCUUUCUUUCCCUUCUCCUUGUAGUAUUCAUUUUAUUUAUUAAUUGUUAAUAUGAUUUUGCCAAAGAGCCAUUAAAACCACAUGAGGAGGCCAUGGCUGGCUUUGGUGCGCACCUUAACCACUUAAACGUACACCAAGGUAGUACAAGAGGGAAGGAAUUUUAUGACUCCUCAAGCAUAGAGGAAUGUGAAAGAAAAUGUGACUAUUCGAUUGUAUUUAUUCCAAAGUGAUUUUGAUCAUUCUAAAAUUAUUCCAA